rnacentral:tRNA from 1 species
GCCUUUGUAGCCCAAUUGGAAGAGGCAAUAGAUUCAAAACCUAUACCGUGUGAGUUCGAGUCUCACCAAAGGCA